AUUUCAUGUUGUGGGCAUUUCCGUAGCAUCUCUUUGUAUCUUUCCCAUGUCUCAUACGAAGAUUCUUACUCUUCCAAUUGAUGAAAGAAAGAGAUAUCGCUUCUGAGCUU